UGCUUCCUUUGACAGCCAUAUACAAAAACUGGAAUGAUACAGAGAAGAUUAGUCUGGCCCCUGCAUAAGGAUGGCAUGCAAAUUCACGAAGCGCUCCUUACACUC
rnacentral:snRNA from 1 species